rnacentral:rRNA from 1 species
AGAGUUUGAUCCUGGCUCAGAAUCAACGCUGGCGGCGCGCUUAACACAUGCAAGUCGCACGAGAAAGGGGAGCAAUCCCUGAGUAAAGUGGCGUACGGGUGAGUAACACGUGGAUCAUCUACCUUUUAGUGGGGAAUACCCCUGGGAAACUGGGGACAAUACCGCAUAAGCUCGUAAGAGGAAAGCCGAAAGGCGCUGAAAGAGGAGUCCGCGGCUGAUUAUGCUAGAUGGCGGGGUAACGGCCCACCAUGGCGAAGAUCGGUAGCCGGCCUGAGAGGGCACACGGCCACACUGGCACUGAAACACGGGCCAGACUCCUACGGGAGGCAGCAGUGGGGAAUCUUGCACAAUGGAGGAAACUCUGAUGCAGCGACGCCGCGUGAGCGAUGAAGCCCUUCGGGGUGUAAAGCUCUUUCGACGGGAACGAUAAUGACGGUACCCGAAGAAGAAGCUGCGGCUAACUACGUGCCAGCAGCCGCGGUAAUACGUAGGCAGCAAGCGUUGUUCGGAAUUACCGGGCGUAAAGAGUGUGUAGGCGGUGCUCUAAGUCUGUCGUGAAAUCUCCCGGCUUAACUGGGAGGGUGCGGCGGAAACUGGAGUGCUUGAGUAUGGGAGAGGAAAGCGGAAUUCCUGGUGUAGCGGUGAAAUGCGUAGAUAUCAGGAGGAACACCUGCGGUGUAGACAGCUUUCUGGACCAUCACUGACACUGAGACACGAAAGCGUGGGUAGCAAACAGGAUUAGAUACCCUAGUAGUCC